ACAGAUCCUGUGUAUGGAAGUGGAAGUUGGCCAAGUCCUUUGUUGUAAUAGAAAUAGACUGUCAACUGGUUUCUUGAGGUUAUCCACAGCUGAAAUUUCUUAAGGGGAAUCAUUAAUGAAUUCUGAAGAAAAUUACAUACCCUGAGAGAGUUGUGAGUGUCACCAGCAUGGGGACAAUUUUAGUUAUAGCCCAGCAUCACCAAGUACCAGCUAUGAAAGAAGAAAGAAAAUUAAAGCGGUAACUACUUAUUAUUCACCAGAUUUAUACCAAGUGCCAUAGUGCAAAAACCAAGGGUCCCAUUAACCCCGUUACAUAACUGCUGGAAAGAGUCCUAGAGAUUACAAUGCCAUCUCCUUUGAUUGUUAAAAGUAGGAUUCGGUUAGAUUUACAGUAUUGUGUGCUGUAUCUGGGUCAUAACAGCACCUGUUGACCAGAAGAUUUAGUCAAGCCCAGGUUUGCUUCAUGUAAUUUUGAAAUAGGAGCUGUUGGAGUUUUCAUGAAAUAAGGUAGUUCACGGCUGCUGGUUUAAUAUUUCAGGAUAAUUUUUUUUUUUAUUUCUUCUCAAUGUUAGCCAUGCAGCAGCUCUGUAUCAUUUGUGACACAUGGAGUGUUUUAUGCCCAAAACUCAUAUGGAUUUGAUAUUACUUAAGUACAUAUUUAGUCUUCUUAUAAGUUCAGCAUCAGGUAACCUGUAGUUUAGUAUGUUUCUGAAGAGUAUGCAGUUUUCAUGCUAAGACUUCUUAUCACUUGAGAUAUUAUUAUUCAGAAUAUAAACCCCUCUUCAUGUGGAACAAGCCCACAGGGGCCAUCAACUUGAAAAUCUAGCUUCCAAAGAAAAUUAUGUUCAUUUGAAAGAAGUAACAGAAGAGAUCAGGUAUUAGAAAAGAUAAAAUAUAUUAACCAAUUAAAAAACAGAUAGAUAAAAAUGUUAGUAAAUUAUAAAAUAUAAAAAAUAUGAGGAGAAUUGCUUUAGAGUAAUAAUGCAUUGCAUCUUCGCUUGAACUACUGAGGUUCAAUUUGCACAUAUCAGUUAUUUCAGUAAAUGUCAGUAUACCUGGUGUACUUUCCACUAUCAGCUAUGAUGAGGCAGCUUGGUGUUUUGGUAUAGUAGUAUACUAUAUUAACUUUAUCAGUUUUACAAUGAUAAUGUGGUACCUUCAAGAUACAUAGUCAAGUAGUACUUCAGUAUGAUACAGGAUAGUUUAAUUUUAAAUUCUUACUAGAGGAUACAUAGGUUUUCAUAUAAAUUUCAUAUUAGUUUAAUAUUAACAGUCAAAUUGUUCUUUAUGUUUCAGGAUACAUGGUUUUAAGUUUUCUUUAAUAAUAUACGUAUUUGAUAUCUGUUACAAGUAGCUCAGUGUGUCCGAAUUCCCUAAGAAAUUUAAUUUUCUUAUUCAGUACCUGCUGUCUUGCAGACUGCAAGAUACAUGAUUUUUUGUUUUUACUUAAGAUUCAUAAGUUUAGGGCUAGCUAUCUAAUUUAUGUAUCCUGAAACAAUUUCAGGAUACAUAAAAUCUUCACUAAAGCCUCUCAUACGUUUAAUACAGCUGUGCAUCAGAAUUCAUAGUUUUCGCUUGAAUUUCCUAGUAUGUAUAGUGCUAUUAGCUAUUAAGUAGCUUAGCGGACUUAGAAUUCAUAAUGCUUACCUAUAAUUCUCAUUAGUUUAGUUUAAGGUGAUAGGUAGCUCUGGAUAUUUCCAUUUGCAUAAUAUUAAAAAUGAAUCUAAUGUCAGUACAAUGUCUUCGAUAAGUAGUCACAGCAAUGUUAUGACUAGCUUAUAUCAAGAAGUCCUGUAUGUAUAAAGGUAGUUUUUGUAUCAACGUAGUUAUGAUUUGCUGUGUCCAGUAGGUCACCAAGUUUAAUAUUAAGCAAUUUCAAUUAUUUUCAUUAAUUUAACAAAAUUUUAAAUAUGAGCUCCUCACUUGACGAGUGAGUUCCAUACUCGACUAUCAAUCUGGUAGCCAAAGUUUGCUUCCUGCAGCCACGAGCGUGGAAUUAGAGGCGUUUAUUUCUGGUGAUUAGAAAUUCAUUUCUUGAUAUAAUGCGGUUCUGAUCCCACAAUAAGCUUUAGGUCCUGUUGCUGAGAAACCUGUUGGUUCCUAAGAAAAAAAUUUGAUCCUUCGGGCCAGCCCUAGGAGAGCUAGCGGUUAAUCAGCUCAGUGGUCGGGUAAAACUAAGAUACACUUACUUAAAUAUGAUCAUAGCAAUAAGUUCAUUAGUUAGAAGGACUAGUUUUACUAAUGUGGUGGACUAUUUUGAUAUGGGUCAGUAAAGAUAGGAAUAGUUUUGUGGAAUAAAACUUGAAAGAUAUGAACGUUUUUGGAAUAUAUAAUAUUUUUAUCAAAUAAUGUUUUGAUAUUUUUUUUGGCAAGUCUUAAAAGAUAUUCUCAAACUAGCUUCCAUCAUAGUGGGGACUUGCGUCAAGCUUAUCAUAUACACUCCUUAGCCUUCAUCUAUAAUUUGUUUCAAUUUUUUAUUUAUAUCAGACUUCCUUUUGAAUUAAUUUGUAAUACAUAGUUUCGAGGUUUUGCGUUAUUGUAAUGUUAUGUAAGUUUGGUACGUACUUAUUUUGUUAAAAAACUGGUUACUGAAAGGCUUUGUUUACUACAAGAAAGAUAUAGCUUGAAGCAUUUACAUGUGCACACUGUUAAGA